AUUUUCCGGUUGAUCCUGCCGGAGGUUACUGCUAUCGGUGUUCGACUAAGCCAUGCAAGUCAUAUGUUCUUCGUGAACAUGGCAUACUGCUCAGUAACACGUGGAUAACCUGCCCUUGGGUCUGGGAUAACCCCGGGAAACUGGGGAUAAUACCGGAUAACGCAUAUGUGCUGGAAUGCUUUAUGCGUAAAACGGAUUCGUCCGCCCAAGGAUGGGUCUGCGGCCUAUCAGGUAGUAGUGGGUGUAAUGUACCUACUAGCCAACAACGGGUACGGGUUGUGAGAGCAAGAGCCCGGAGAUGGAUUCUGAGACAUGAAUCCAGGCCCUACGGGGCGCAGCAGGCGCGAAAACUUUACAAUGCGGGAAACCGUGAUAAGGGAACACCGAGUGCCAGCAUCAUAUGCUGGCUGUCCAGAUGUGUAAAGUACAUCUGUUAGCAAGGGCCGGGCAAGACCGGUGCCAGCCGCCGCGGUAACACCGGCGGCCCGAGUGGUGACCGUUAUUAUUGGGUCUAAAGGGUCCGUAGCCGGUUUGGUCAGUCCUCCGGGAAAUCUGAUAGCUUAACUGUUAGGCUUUCGGGGGAUACUGCCAGGCUUGGAACCGGGAGAGGUAAGAGGUACUACAGGGGUAGGAGUGAAAUCUUGUAAUCCCUGUGAGACCACCUGUGGCGAAGGCGUCUUACCAGAACGGGUUCGACGGUGAGGGACGAAAGCUGGGGGCACGAACCGGAUUAGAUACCCGGGUAGUCCCAGCCGUAAACUAUGCUCGCUAGGUGUCAGGCAUGGCGCGACCGUGUCUGGUGCCGCAGGGAAGCCGCGAAGCGAGCCACCUGGGAAGUACGGCCGCAAGGCUGAAACUUAAAGGAAUUGGCGGGGGAGCACAACAACGGGUGGAGCCUGCGGUUUAAUUGGAUUCAACGCCGGAAAU
rnacentral:rRNA from 1 species